rnacentral:tRNA from 1 species
GGUUGUGGCUCAGUGGCAGAGCACUUGCCUAGCACGUGUGAGGCACUGGGUUGGAUCCCCAAUACCA